GAAAUGCGAUAAGUAAUGUGAAUUGCAGAAUUCAGUGAAUCAUCGAAUCUUUGAACGCACCUUGCGCUCCUUGGUAUUCCUUGGAGCAUGCCUGUUUGAGUAUCAUGAAAUCUUCAAAGUAAAUCUUUUGUUAACUCAAUUGCUUUCUACUUUGGUAUUGGAGGUCUUUGCAGCUUCACACCUGCUCCUCUUUGUUCAUUAGCUGGAUCUCAGUGUUAUGCUUGGUUCCACUCGGCGUGAUAAGUUAUCUAUCGCUGAGGACACUGUAAAAGGUGGCCAAGGUAAAUGCAGAUGAACCGCUUCUAAUAGUCCAUUGACUUGGACAAUACUUUUAUGAUCUGAUCUCAAAUCAGGUAGGACUACCCGCUGAACUUAAGC
rnacentral:misc_RNA from 1 species